CGGGUGAGUAACGCGUGAGGAACCUGCCUCAAAGAGGGGGACAACAGUUGGAAACGACUGCUAAUACCGCAUAAGCCCACAGCUCGGCAUCGAGCAGAGGGAAAAGGAGUGAUCCGCUUUGAGAUGGCCUCGCGUCCGAUUAGCUAGUUGGUGAGGUAACGGCCCACCAAGGCGACGAUCGGUAGCCGGACUGAGAGGUUGAACGGCCACAUUGGGUCUGAGACACGGCCCAG
rnacentral:rRNA from 1 species